rnacentral:rRNA from 1 species
UGAGGAAUUUUCGGCAAUGGGCGCAAGCCUGACCGAGCAACGCCGCGUGCAGGACGAAGGUCUUCGGAUCGUAAACUGCUUUUCUCGGGGAUGAAUUUAUGACAGUACCCGAGGAAGAAGCCUCGGCUAACUACGUGCCAGCAGCCGCGGUAAUACGUAGGAGGCGAGCGUUGUCCGGAGUUACUGGGCGUAAAGUGCACGCAGGCGGUCUGUUAAGUUCACGGUGACAGUCAUCAGCUUAACUGGUGAAGUGUCUUGAAAACUGACGGACUUGAGGGCCAGAGAGGGACCUGGAAUUCCGGGUGGAGCAGUGAAAUGCGUAGAUAUCCGGAGGAACACCAAUGGCGAAGGCAAGGUCCUGGCUGGCACCUGACGCUGAGGUGCGAAAGCUAGGGGAGCGAACG